rnacentral:rRNA from 1 species
AAAGAAACCAACAGGGAUUGCCCUAGUAACGGCGAGUGAAGCGGCAACAGCUCAAAUUUGAAAUCUGGCUCUCUUUGGGGGUCCGAGUUGUAAUUUGCAGAGGAUGCUUUGGCAUUGGCGGCGGUCUAAGUUCCUUGGAACAGGACAUCGCAGAGGGUGAGAAUCCCGUACGUGGGCGCCUGCCUUUGCCGUGUAAAGCUCCUUCGACGAGUCGAGUUGUUUGGGAAUGCAGCUCUAAAUGGGAGGUAAAUUUCUUCUAAAGCUAAAUACCGGCCAGAGACCGAUAGCGCACAAGUAGAGUGAUCGAAAGAUGAAAAGUACUUUGGAAAGAGAGUCAAAAAGCACGUGAAAUUGUUGAAAGGGAAGCGCUUGCAGCCAGACUUGCCCGCAGUUGCUCACCUAGGCUUUGGCCUGGGGCACUCUUCUGCGGGCAGGCCAGCAUCAGUUUGGGCGGUUGGAUAAAGGCCUCUGUCACGUAUCUUCCUUCGGGAUGACCUUAUAGGGGAGGCGUAAUGCAACCAGCCCGGACUGAGGUCCGCGCAUCUGCUAGGAUGCUGGCGUAAUGGCUGUAAGCGGCCCGUCUUGAAACACGGACCAAGGAGUCUAACAUCUAUGCGAGUGUUUGGGUGUCAAGCCCGGGCGCGCAAUGAAAGUGAACGGAGGUGGGAACCCUUUGGGUGCACCAUCGACCGAUCCUGAUGUCUUCGGAUGGAUUUGAGUAAGAGCAUAGCUGUUGGGACCCGAAAGAUGGUGAACUAUGCUUGAAUAGGGUGAAGCCAGAGGAAACUCUGGUGGAGGCUCGCAGCGGUUCUGACGUGCAAAUCGAUCGUCAAAUUUGGGCAUAGGGGCGA